CUCUCUUUCUUCACUU
rnacentral:sRNA from 1 species